AUGAACGCUGGCGGCGUGCCUAAUACAUGCACGUCGCGCGAACAGACGAGGAGCUUGCUCCUCUGAUGUUAGCGGCGGACGGGUGAGUAACACGUGGAUAACCUACCUAUAAGACUGGGAUAACUUCGGGAAACCGGAGCUAAUACCGGAUAACAUGUUGAACCGCAUGGUUCAACAGUGAAAGACGGUCUUGCUGUCACUUAUAGAUGGAUCCGCGCCGCAUUAGCUAGUUGGUAAGGUAACGGCUUACCAAGGCAACGAUGCGUAGCCGACCUGAGAGGGUGAUCGGCCACACUGGAACUGAGACACGGUCCAGACUCCUACGGGAGGCAGCAGUAGGGAAUCUUCCGCAAUGGGCGAAAGCCUGACGGAGCAACGCCGCGUGAGUGAAGAAGGUCUUCGGAUCGUAAAACUCUGUUAUUAGGGAAGAACAAAUGUGUAAGUAACUAUGCACGUCUUGACGGUACCUAAUCAGAAAGCCACGGCUAACUACGUG
rnacentral:rRNA from 1 species